rnacentral:rRNA from 1 species
UGGGGAAUAUUGCGCAAUGGGGGGAACCCUGACGCAGCCAUGCCGCGUGAAUGAAGAAGGCCUUAGGGUUGUAAAGUUCUUUCGGUAUUGAGGAAGGUUGAUGUGUUAAUAGCACAUCAAAUUGACGUUAAAUACAGAAGAAGCACCGGCUAACUCCGUGCCAGCAGCCGCGGUAAUACGGAGGGUGCGAGCGUUAAUCGGAAUAACUGGGCGUAAAGGGCACGCAGGCGGUUAUUUAAGUGAGGUGUGAAAGCCCCGGGCUUAACCUGGGAAUUGCAUUUCAGACUGGGUAACUAGAGUACUUUAGGGAGGGGUAGAAUUCCACGUGUAGCGGUGAAAUGCGUAGAGAUGUGGAGGAAUACCGAAGGCGAAGGCAGCCCCUUGGGAAUGUACUGACGCUCAUGUGCGAAAGCGUGGGGAGCAAACAGGAUUAGAUACCCUGGUAGUCCACGCUGUAAACGCUGUCGAUUUGGGGGUUGGGGUUUAACUCUGGCGCUCGUAGCUAACGUGAUAAAUCGACCGCCUGGGGAGUACGGCCGCAAGGUUA